rnacentral:rRNA from 1 species
GUAGGUGGCAAGCGUUGUCCGGAAUUAUUGGGCGUAAAGCGCGCGCAGGUGGUUCUUUAAGUCUGAUGUGAAAGCCCCCGGCUCAACCGGGGAGGGUCAUUGGAAACUGGGGAACUUGAGUGCAGGAGAGGAAAGUGGAAUUCCACGUGUAGCGGUGAAAUGCGUAGAUAUGUGGAGGAACACCAGUGGCGAAGGCGACUUUCUGGCCUGUAACUGACACUGAGGCGCGAAAGCGUGGGGAGCAAACAGGGAUUAGAUACCCUGGUAGUCCACGCCGUAAACGAUGAGUGCUAAGUGUUGGGGGGGUUUUCCGCCCCCUCAGUGCUGCAGCUAACGCAUUAAGCACUCCGCCUGGGAGUACGGUCGCAAGACUG